UGGCCAGACUCCUACGGGAGGCAGCAGUGAGGAAUAUUGGUCAAUGGGCGCGAGCCUGAACCAGCCAAGUCGCGUGAGGGAAGACGGUCCUAUGGAUUGUAAACCUCUUUUGUCGGGGAGCAAAAGACGCCACGCGUGGCGUUCCGAGAGUACCCGAAGAAAAAGCAUCGGCUAACUCCGUGCCAGCAGCCGCGGUAAUACGGAGGAUGCGAGCGUUAUCCGGAUUUAUUGGGUUUAAAGGGUGCGCAGGCGGCGAGUUAAGUCAGCGGUAAAAUUUCGGGGCUCAACCCCGACAAGCCGUUGAAACUGGCUUGCUAGAGUGGGCGAGAAGUAUGCGGAAUGCGUGGUGUAGCGGUGAAAUGCAUAGAUAUCACGCAGAACUCCGAUUGCGAAGGCAGCAUACCGGCGCCCAACUGACGCUCAGGCACGAAAGCGUGGGUAUCGAACAGGAUUAGAUACCCGCGUA
rnacentral:rRNA from 1 species